GACACGCCUGGAAACGAAUGAGAUGAGUCGGUGAUUCGCUUUUCCCGAAACAUCCAUUAAGAUUAUGCUUUCAUAAAACUGCAUUUUAUUUCAAUGCUAAACUUCUUUUCCUACACCAACAGUAAAUAUACAUUAACGGGACCUGUCUCGGACGUGCUGAGGCGGCUGCUGCGGGAAAAGCGACACGGGGCAAGAGGCCAAAGAGUUGGACAACGCCGCAGUCGGGAACUCGUGAGGCUGUGGGUAGUGGCUCCUCAGCUUCCUCUCCGCUGCCUGGUGCAGCUCGCUGACAUUGUAGCACCGGUUCAUCCUGCACGUCCACACGGGCACGAGACAAAGUCCAAAGAUGAGAAUCUGUGAAGGGGCAGACAGACAGAAAGACAGUCAGACAGACAGACAGCUGCAGUGCAUGCAGCCAAUAUGAGCUCUGUCCUGUGUGUCCCUCUCACCUGCUUUAUGUCCAUCCUCUGUCCCUCUCUUCUGGCUGACUGUUAAAGGAUCUUUUACCAGCAUCCAUCCUCACCUGUCUGCUAUUUAUGGAGUGCACAGGUGGGAAAAACCAGCAUGAGGAAAUGGAAAGGCCGUUUAGUUUGUAUACUUCCUGUUUCCUAAGUGAAAGGAGCCUGCAGCAGGUAGGUAUGAGGGCGGUCUCGUACUGAGGGUGGCCAAGGAAUUUUCUACACAGACACACACACACCCGAGCACUUGAGCGCCGAGAGGCUGACGGCACCUGGUAAAUAUGCUGCCGAACAAAAACCAAGUGCUGAAACCAGAAACUGCUGCUGAUGAAAGCUCAAUCUAUUUUAAGAGCGGCCUCUUGAAGUGAUGCCAUAAUCACAACAUCCAGCCCACGGCUUUCAUUGCUUUUACAUGUAUUUAUGACAUUGUGCUGUAUUAAGGAAUAAUUUUUACAUAAUGAUUUUACAACUAUUGUUGAGUGAGGCAACUCCUUACCAACCCCAACUAAACUCCUUCCUUAUAUCCCUUAUUUAUUGUCCCAUAAUCUAUAAGUGCCUUUGUUUGAACGUAUGUUGUUAUAAGUGUGUCUGAAUGUGUCUCUGUCUAUGUUUAUUGCAUUGUUCAAUACAUUUGUUUGAGUGAGGCUAAUUCUAUUAUGAAUGUUGAUAUUUUGAAAUGUCUUUAUUCAUUUAUUUAGCCAUUUAACCCAGGAUUUAUUAUUUAUGCAUUUUUUGUUUGAGAACAAAUUCACAUGGUAAAUGGACCGUACUUGUACAGAGCUUUUCUAGUCUUCCGACCACUCAAAGCACUUUAAAAUUUCAUGUCAUCAUUCACCCAUUCACACACUAAUGACAGGUGCUACCAUACACAGUCCCACCACAUCAGUAACUAGCAUUCACACACUGUAGUCACAGCUACAGGAGCAAUGUUGGGGUUAAGUGUCUUACCCAAGGACACAUGGGUUAGCAGGGGCCUGGGAUUGAACCGCCAAUCCUCUGAUUGGAGGACGACUCCACUCACCCACAGUUGCCCACAUUUGACUGAAUAUAUUUACUUGCAUAUGUCACUUUGUACUAAUGUAUUUAUUACAGAACUUAUUUCUUUGUUUCUGGGCACAUAAAGAUGUAUUUCACUUUUAUAUAUUCAUUUUUGAACCAUAAGAAAUAAAAGACACACUAUUUGUCUGUUUAUACGUUAGAAAUACAAUUAAUCAUAACAAGGAAAUGAGCCAUGGAAAAUCCCACACAGGCCAUGCCAUGUGUGUCGGACUACUAGUUCUAAUGAGCUAAAACAACUUUUUGAAUACAGGGUUGUACCUCAUCAACCUAUGACAUCAAAUAAAAAAAAUAAUUUUUUGGUAUUUGUAUCUCUCUUGGUUAUUGUGCCAAGAGAAUUUCCAGCAGAAGUUUGUAUGACUGUCCCAGUAACACUGCCAGGUGGCCAUAAGGUGGCAAACCAUUAUACUGUAUGUCAACCUCACUAAGGGCACAAACAAGUACAAAAUUAUAAUUAUAAGUCAAAUCCUACACAGUUUUAUACACAAAUCCUGCAACAACUGUACACAACUUUGAAAAUGCUUUUUUUCUGAAUGAAAUUUAGAUUGAUUAGGGUUGUGCUAUUCCUGCUCCAUACAGACUCAAAAUGGCGUACUAUAUGUCAUAUAUGCACACAUAUGGUCACAUCUUCAUAGUUUACUCAACUCAACCUGAGUCUGAAGCAGGAGGAAGUCCAGGUGCUGUGGAAGACGUUGUGCCUGGUCUCAGUACCAAAGAAGACAACCCUGCCUGGCCUCAAUGACUACUGACCAGUCGCCCUCACAUCCCAUGUGAUGAAGGUGCUGGAGAGGGUGGUCUUGACCUACCUUUGACCGCAGGUGAAAUCAUCACUGGAAAGCAAUUUGCUUACCAGGCUAAUGUGGGGGUGGGUGACGCCAUCAUCUACCUGCUGCAGCCCAGUCGCAUCUAGAUGGAACCACAGGCGCCGUCAGAAUUUCUUCUCCACUUCUCGCACUUCUCUAGUGCAUUCAACACCAUCCAACCACUGCUGUUGAGUGAGAAGCCGCGGGUGGUGUUGGUUAAUGCGUCCACCGUCUCCUGGAUCACUGACUACCUGACGGGCAGACCACAGUUUGUCCAACAGGGCCGUGUGCUGUCUGAUGUGGUGGUCAGUGAUACUGGAACCCCACAGGGAACUGUCCUGUCUCCCUUCCUGUUCACUAACUUCUGGUACAUCUGGUCGGGCGUAUAAGGAACGGAGGGGAGGAGUAUAGAGCAGUAGUGCAGGACUUUGUGAAGUGGGCCGGUAGAAAUCACCUGACUCUCAACAUGACCAAGACCAGAGAGAUGGUGGUGGACUUCACCUGGGUGUCUCCAUCGACAACAGACUGAACUGGAAGGCCAACAUCAAGGCUGUGUACAAGAAGGGGAUUAGUCAACUAAUUUUCUUGGAGCUAGUGACACCAACACACUCAAGAAGCUGGUGAUCAUUGGCUGCAUUCAGAACCGGUGGUGGAGAGGACACUGAAAAAACUAUUGCCUAUAUUGGAUAACAAGGACCACGCUCUUCACCACCUACUGCAGGGACAGCGGAGCACCUUCUCCAACAGGAUGAUCCAGCUGUCCUGUCACAAGGACAGACACAGGAAAACAUUCCUGUCAACUGCAAUAAGACUAUACAACAUCACCCCUGGCUAAGUCCUUGUUUAAUUGAACUGUCUUAAUUUAAUACCGUGGCACUACUGUUUUAAUUUUAUUUUAUAUUCACAUACACUGUAUAUACUUGUGUGCUGUUCUUUCUUUUUUCUAUUUAAUUUUCAAAUUUGUGAAUGUCUGGCUCUGCUAUUUUUUGUAUUGUGUAUAAAUUAUGCAUUUUACUUUUAAUUACUACUGCUACUGGUACACACAAAUAUCCCCCUGGGGAUUAAUAAUGUAUAAAUCUAUCUACCUAUAAGCAUAGUUUCAUCGGGCCUCUGUAUGAAUAGGCGGGACAAUAGAGCUCUGGAGGCCAGAGAAGGAUAGCAGGAGAAUCUCUGUGCUGGUAAGCGUAACACAAAAUUCUGCAAAUGCAUUCUUACAGCAAAUUCAGUCUAUGGGCAACUUUGUAUUGACCUUGUAUACAAUCCUAAAAGUUUAACUUGCAUCUGGUGGGACCACAGGAUUAUUGGGCGGCUUUGGCUCAGUGAAGAGCAGGGUUGUCCAAUCAGAGGAUCGGUGGUGCGAUCACUGGCUCCGCUUAUCAUGAUGUUGGGGUUUUCUUGGGCAAAGCACUUAACCCCACUGCUGUUAAUGCAUAUCCCAUCAACACAUCAAUUCCUCCAUGGUUAAAAUUACUUGCACUAUUCCAUCACCUCCUCAACAUUAGAGGCAGGAAACGCCUGCAAGCCACAAUGCAGUUCCUCUUGGCCUAAAAAGCACCAUCUGAAAAUUCACAAGCAUCCCCCUCAACGAAAUGAUGAGGAAAUAAAAAGCACCUCAACUUCCUCCAGUGGACUUUGUGCCUCUGUGACACAACUUCCUUCUUUAUACAUACACCACAUAUUAAACCGACUAUGAGACAAGGAACACACAUGGCUGAAAAAAUACACUAUGUAAAGGUGCAGGUGAUUGGCCACAGGAGGGGACAUUUGGGGACAAGGCAAUCCAUACACAGUAAGGGACUAAAACACAUUGGGUUUUAGGUGGGGACUUGUAAUCCUGCGAGGUCACAGGUGACCUUGUUGGCAUGAAGACUUGACCUGCGCAAGCGCAAGACAGAUGAUAAUCCAGGAUUCAUAGAACCGUAGUUACAUACGUAACUUUUGUUAUACUAUUGAUGUUUACCUGGUAGCACUGUAGCCAACCUUUGGUUUUCAGUACCAUGUCUCAAUAUAUCAGUGGACUCCUAUGAAAACCUUAGUCCGUCCACCAGAUUGAUCAUCUCGUCGAUAGUGUUACAGGCUCUUUGAGUGACUCUACUGUUCUUCUUGAAAGGAGAAUGGUACUACAAGUGUUCUCCUCUGUGUAACCCACAACUUAAGCAAACAGCCUGGAAACUCCUCGUGAGGUAACUUCUCAAACAUGUGUAAACCCUGGAAUAUUAAAUCACUCCCAAUUAUC